UACAGAGGUGGCAAGCGUUGUUCGGAAUUACUGGGCGUAAAGGGCGCGUAGGCGGUCUUGCAAGUCCCGUGUGAAAUCCCUCGGCUCAACUGAGGAACUGCACGGGAAACUGUUUGGCUUGAGUUCGGGAGAGGGAAGCGGAAUUCCGGGUGUAGCGGUGAAAUGCGCAGAUAUCAGGAGGAACACCGGUGGCGAAGGCGGGUCUCUGGGCCGAUACUGACGCUGAGGAGCGAAAGCGUGGGGAGCGAACAGG
rnacentral:rRNA from 1 species